rnacentral:tRNA from 1 species
GAUAAAAUGGCCGAGUUAAGCAAUAAAUUGUAAAUUUAUCCACGAAUAGAAUAUUCUUUUAUCA